rnacentral:rRNA from 1 species
UAGGGAAUAUUGCAAAAUGGGCGAAAGCCCGAUGCAGCAACGCCGCGUGGGCGAUGAAGGCCUUCGGGUCGUAAAGCCCUUUUUGAGGGGAUGAGGAAGGACAGUACCCUCAGAAUAAGCCCCGGCUAACUACGUGCCAGCAGCCGCGGUAAUACGUAGGGGGCAAGCGUUGUCCGGAUUUACUGGGUGUAAAGGGCGCGCAGGCGGGAUAAAAAGUCAGUGGUGAAAUCCUACAGCUUAACUGUAGAACUGCCUUUGAUACUUUUAUUCUUGAGUUCGGGAGAGAGAGACCGAAUUCCAGGUGUAGUGGUGAAAUACGUAGAUAUCUGGAAGAACACCAGUUGCGAAGGCGGUCUCUUGGUCCGACACUGACGCUGAGGCGCGAAAGCGUGGGGAGCAAAC